GAUGAACGCUGGCGGCGUGCCUAAUACAUGCAAGUCGAGCGAAUGGAUUAAGAGCUUGCUCUCAUGAAGUUAGCGGCGGACGGGUGAGUAACACGUGGGUAACCUGCCCAUAAGACUGGGAUAACUCCGGGAAACCGGGGCUAAUACCGGAUAACAUUUCGAACCGCAUGGUUCGAAAUUGAAAGGCGGCUUCGGCUGUCACUUAUGGAUGGACCCGCGUCGCAUUAGCGAGUUGGUGAGGUAACGGCUCACCAAGGCAACGAUGCGUAGCCGACCUGAGAGGGUGAUCGGCCACACUGGGACUGAGACACGGCCCAGACUCCUACGGGAGGCAGCAGUAGGGAAUCUUCCGCAAUGGACGAAAGUCUGACGGAGCAACGCCGCGUGAGUGAUGAAGGCUUUCGGGUCGUAAAACUCUGUUGUUAGGGAAGAACAAGUGCUAGUUGAAUAAGCUGGCACCUUGACGGUACCUAACCAGAAAGCCACGGCUAACUACGUGCCAGCAGCCGCCGUAA
rnacentral:rRNA from 1 species